rnacentral:lncRNA from 1 species
GAAGAAACAGGAUAGGGGAGAAGAUGUCUGUAGGACCCUGAGGAGUCUUCAGGUUACAAACAAUAACAAACACCACCAAAGGACAGGCUUCAGAAAAAUGGAAAAUUGAUCUAACAAGGAAGAAGUAUUAUGAAGCAAUGUUAAAAAGAAAUUGGUAAUAAUUGCCAACAGAGAAAACCCUUCAAAGAGAGUUGCUGCUUUUCCUAAGGGUUUCCAAGGAUCCAAAAACCUUCGGAAGUUCCAAGGAUCAAGUCCCAGGAUCUAAGACAUGCCUUUUGCCUUCUGCCAUGAUUGUGAGGCCUCCACAGCCACAUGGAACUCUGGACCUUUCCUGGAACAAAUUCCUUCAGACAAAUUCUCCACCAGACCAUCAACUCAGGAGGGCAAACAAGGAACUUGUUUUCAAGAGCUGGAGCCAAACCACCCAGAGUUUCCUGUGCCAGGUGAGCAUGAAGAGGGGCCGAAGUCACCCAUUACUAACCCCUCACCCAUGACUGCCUGAAAGGUAUGUCUCAGGCUUUAACCAUGAAACCUGUUUCCUCUCUCCCCUCCAAAGUCCAGCCCAGAGAGGCAUGAUAAAAUCACUUAGCAAAUGGAAAAUAUUUUGUGCUUAUUCUAAGAAAUGUGAUCCAUCAAAAAUGAGCUGACAAGUCAUUUCAUUUCCAAGGACAGUGUCCACAUACUCCAGGCAGCCUCUGGACCUGGAAUAAGACACAUCUAAGCCACAGGCCAGUAAGGACCAUACAGCUAUAACGUUAUGAGUGAUUCUGUAGCAUGGUUUUAAGGCACCAGCUGCACAGUCAGACUGCCUGGUUUCAGCCCAGCUCCCUCAUUUGCUAGCUGUGAAAACUGGGUGAAUUGCUUAAGCAACCCUUAAUGACAUUUUGUUGUUUUAAAAACGGCAAUAAUAAUAAUACUCCCUUCUUCAUAUGAUUGUUUUGAGAUUUGGAUAAGGCAAUAGGUGCUUUAUUCGAUAAGGACCCUAGAACAUACAAAUCUAUUUUAAAAAUGCUAUUAAUAUGGUUUUGCCCUAAAAAGGCAGGUUCUUCUGUUUCUCAAAUCUGACAAAGUUUUGUCAGACUCUUGAAUUCUCAUUAAUAGUUCCAACACAGACUAUUAAUGCUGUUAGUUUUGACCAAAUACAUGACUCAUGAAUUAACUAACUCUUACUUGGUAAUCUGAAGGAAUCAAUAAAAUCCACACUUAAUUCCCCCUAAAUCAACUGAACAACUAUGGACUAUGGAAUUGGGGAGAUCUGUCUAAAUGGCAGCAAUAUCAACUACGAAAAAUAUUUAUUUAGAGUCUGGGUAGGUACCAAGUUCAAUGAACUGCUUAGAGAGUCUGUGUUGCUUUGGUGACUGUUCUAGGCAGUGCUAAUUUUGCUACAAUUUCCUUUCUUAAGUAAGUCACAACCAGAAUAAAAACAAAGUUCUAGAAAUCCCAUAUUUUUACAAACUGGAUUGAUGAAACCAGUUUUUAAAAUAUCAGAGGACCAGACUGAAAAAGAAACCAGGUGUAGCAAAAGGCAACUCUUCUGGAAACUGAAAAUUCAAAGAAACAUGGUAAUCUCACUGUAUUAAUUUUCUUUUCCUCUUGUAACAAAUUACCACAAGCUUAGUGGCUUAAAACAACACAAAUUUAUAUCCUACAGUUUGUGGAGAAGUAUGAAGUGGGUCUUCCAGGGCUAAAAUCAGUGCUGGUAGAGAGGGGGUACAGAGAAUCUGUUCCUAUUCUUUUCAGCUUCUAGAGAAAGCCUGGGUUCCUUGGCUCAAAGUUUCUUCCAGCAGGGGCAUCUCUCUGACCUCUGUUUCCACUGCCUCAGCUCCUACUCUCACUCGAACCCUCCUGCAUCCCUCUUAUAGGAACCCUUGUGAUUACACUGAGCCUUCUCAAUCAAUGCAGGAUAAUCUUCUAUCUAUCUCAAGACCCGUAAUGUAAUCACAUCUGCAAAGUCCCUUUUGCCAUUUGAGGUAACAAAUCCAUAGGCUCCAAGAAUUAAGAUAUGGACAUCUUUUAGGGGACCAUUCUUCUGACUACCAUACUCCCCUAGCUGAAGAAUUAUUGUGUGAAACAGGGAUAAAGGCAGAACUAAUAUAAAUGAGUCAAAGUGGCCAGGAGGUGAAAUUUGGCUCCAAACAGAAGAAUCUCAAUAAUGAUAAGAGGUGAGUGAAAAAGGACAGGAGCUUUUGAGGAGGAUGUGGGCUCUUUAUCACUAGGGCUGAGCCUCUCUUUCUAAACAUUCACUCCCUCUGCCCAUGUUGGGGUUUUGAUUGCAUGGCAUUUGAGGGUCUUUCCAAUUUUAAGCUUCCAGGUCUUUGAAAAUUUGGAAGGUGUGUCAGUCAGUGUAUAGGCUAGGCUAUGCUGGGUAACAACCAAUCCCCCAAAUCUCAGUGAUUUCAAUCAACACAUCCAUUGUUGGACUGCAUUAGCUCUGGUCGUUGUGGUCCUCUAGGGACUAAAGAGACACCACCACUGCAGACAUAGCUAGCCACAGUGCCAGCAGGAUAGAGAGUUCUGGAGGGUCUAGAAAGAGCAACUGAUACCCUGGUCCACAAGGGUCACACAACACUUACACUAACAGCUCCUCAGUCAGAACUAGUCACAAGUCUCUGGCCAACUAAAAGGAAGACCAGGAUAAAGAGCCAAUCUGGAAGGCAAAGAAACAGAAAUAUUGACGAGUGCAAAUAGUGACUGUGACAGGAAACAAUUGACCCUCUCCAUCAAUCAAUUCACAGAUUUUAGUCAUAAAAGGAGUCAUAAAACUCUUUUGACCCCUAAAGAGUUUUUCUAAACAGGGUGACGGUCAAUCGAUUAUCCUAGGCUCACUGAUGCAACAAGAUUGUCUUAAGCAUGUUCUUCUUUCUUGAUUUUAGCUCCAUGGUUAGGGUUUCACUUUCAAAAGAUUAAUAAUAAGGUGAUAAUGAUGAUGAUAAUGAUGAUGAUGAUGGUAAUGCAUGCUUUUUGAAAAUCACAGUGUACUGAGCAUUGUACUCAGCAUUUUCCACAUUUAUUUUUUGAAUCUCAGGCAUAGAGGCAUGAGUGAAUCACACUUCUGAUUUCAUAGCAUACUUCUAUUGUAAGACUCAUACAAAGACUCUCUCAUGGUGUAUUUUAUUCAUGUGUCCCCUCUCCUCAUUUUAUCAACCAUAAUGUCUUUGAUAUGAUACCUUAAUAUUUUGUAUAUUUUUGCAAAUUGUAUAGUGUUGUUGUUAUGUAGGUAUUUUUAAUUCUAUAAAAG